CUCAUGGCCAUGCUAAUGGAGAGAGAACAGCCCCAUCAGCCAGGACACAGGUGAGAUUCCAGGAGCCACGCAGCUCCCCGCAGAGCCCACCGGCCCUCAGCAGACAGGACACAGGUGAGAUUCCACAGGUGCACAGACUGCGAAACUCACGCUCUGGGAUGCGGGUCCCAGCCUGGGGCUGACAAACUGUGUGACUUAGAGCUUAGAGCAAGUAUCUUCAACCCUCUGUGCCUCAGCUUUCUCUUCUGAAAAAUCAGAAUUACGGCAUCUGCUUCACAGCAGCAGUGAGAGGACCGGAUAAAAGGACACACAAGAAGCCCGGAUCCCUGUGUGUGAUGAAGAAAAAGCCUUGCAAAUGUCACCUUUGUCAACGACGCUAGGAAGAUCUAUGCACUUAGAAGUCACUACUCAGGCCAGGCAUGGUGGCUCACACCUAUAGUCCCAGCACUCUGGGAGGCUGAGGAAGAUAG